rnacentral:rRNA from 1 species
CCUACGGGUGGCAGCAGUCGAGAAUCAUUCACAAUGGGGGAAACCCUGAUGGUGCGACGCCGCGUGGGGGAAUGAAGGUCUUCGGAUUGUAAACUCCUUUCAUGUGGGAGCAAAUUAAAAAGAUAGUACCACAAGAGGAAGAGACGGCUAACUCUGUGCCAGCAGCCGCGUUAAUACAGAGGUCUCAAGCGUUUUUCGGAAUCACUGGGCGUAAAGCGUGCGUAGGCUGAUUCGUAAGUCGUGUGUGAAAGGCGGGGGCUCAACCGGCGGAAAGCACAUGAUAAUGGGAGAUUAGAGUAAUGGAGGGGGAACCGGAAUUCUUGGUGUAGCAGUGAAAUGCGUAGAUAUCGAGAGGAACACUCGUGGCGAAGGCGGGUUCCUGGACAUUAACUGACGCUGAGGCACGAAGGCCAGGGGAGCGAAAGGGAUUAGAUACCCGAGUAGUC